GGUGGAUUGCCGCAGUAGUCGACCGGACCCGGCUGUAAACCGGGCGCCCCAUGGCCACGCAGGUGCGAAUCCUGCAUCCACCA
rnacentral:tRNA from 1 species